GUACUGGUGGUUCAGUGGUAGAAUUUUUGCCUCCCGUGCAGAAGACCUAGGUUCGAUUCCCGGCCAAUGCA